CGUAGAGAGUUUGUAGUCCUGCGUCAGGAUGAACGCUGGCGGCGUGCUAACACAUGCAAGUCGAACGAAGCAUUUUAAAUGAGACUUCGGGUGGAUUUUAAAAUGACUGAGUGGCGGACGGGUGAGUAACGCGUGGGCAACCUGCCUUACACAGGGGGACAACAGUUAGAAAUGACUGCUAAUACCGCAUAAGCGCACGGGAACGCAUGUUUCUGUGUGAAAAACUCCGGUGGUGUAAGAUGGGCCCGCGUUGGAUUAGGUAGUUGGUGAGGUAACGGCUCACCAAGCCGACGAUCCAUAGCCGACCUGAGAGGGUGACCGGCCACAUUGGGACUGAGACACGGCCCAAACUCCUACGGGAGGCAGCAGUGGGGAAUAUUGCACAAUGGGCGCAAGCCUGAUGCAGCGACGCCGCGUGAGCGAAGGAGUAUUUCGGUAUGUAAAGCUCUAUCAGCAGGGAAGAAAAUGACGGUACCUGACUAAGAAGCUCCGGCUAAAUACGUG
rnacentral:rRNA from 1 species